AAUUUGCAUAGAAAAGACACUUUGCAUUGGCAGCACAUGCUUCAGUGCUCUGGGAGUGUUUAUAGCCCUGUGAGUUUAACACUUCAUGAUUGAGCGCUGCCCUUCAUGGCAACAGAAUCCACAACAACAAUGACUUUUAUCAGCAUCUUCAUCUGGGCACUUGUCAUCUGCACUCAGGAAUCCAGUGGACAGUAUACUGUGACUCAGAAUCCAGUUGUGAAAUCUGUUCUCCCAGGAGACACAGUCGCUCUGAGCUGUAAAGUCAGCAGUGCAGUGUACAGUGAUGGAAAUGGCCACUGGCUAGCCUGGUACCAACAGAAACCUGGAGAAGCUCCCAAACUCCUGAUCUACUUGGCAAGUACCCUUCAGUCUGGGAUCCCAACUCGUUUCAGUGGCAGUGGAUCUGGGACUGACUUCACUCUGACCAUCAGUGGAGUCCAGGCUGAAGAUGCAGGAGAUUACUACUGUCAGAGUUACCACUACCCCAGCAGUAGCAGAGUGUUCACACAGUGCUACACACCCGUACAAAAACCUCCCUCAGCAGGACUGCAGAGCGACUGCACUGCUGCAGCUGGGACCUACUGCAGGUGCUGAGGGUGAAGGCAAUGAAACGGGACACGGCCUGUGGAGGAGCUCAACUGCACACAAACACACUGAGCUCAAUAACAAGGGCUCAAAAUAAAAGACAAGAUCAAUCUGGUAAAUAUCUUGAUUAUUCAUGUAUUCUAAUACAUUGC